CUUAAUUCACUUUGAAUAUGAAUCUUUUUGCUGGAGAAAUUAACACUGACCCUGUUUUUGCUUUUGUUUUGUUUUGUUUUGUUUUUACUAUGAUACCCUGUCAGAAUCUCUACUCUUUGCCGAGGAGCCGAUGUAAGUCAGCACAUGUUCUCACCCUCAUCGGCUCCAGUCUUCUCCCUGGCUAAAGUCCCAUUUAGUGCUGAUUGUGUGCUGGCUACUUCUCCUCUUGUCUUUUUCUUGAACCCUCAAGCCCACAGCAGCCCCUGCAGUCCCUGUUCCAGCCGUACACUGCAGUGGAGCAGGGUUCAAUGAAGCUGGUGUGGCAUAAAUUAAGUGAGAAAUACAGUGAAAUGAGGUCCGAGGAGUAAUAUGGAGCUGGUCGGAUUAAGUGGAGCCAUUGUAUGUGUAUUUGUUUUUAUGUUGAGUAAGGAAUUACUUUUAAUCUUUGGUGUGACUUGAACAGAAUUUGGACGCAUUUCCC